GAUGAACGCUGGCGGCGUGCCUAACACAUGCAAGUCGAGCGGCAGCGAGGGGUGCUUGCACCCUGUCGGCGAGCGGCGGACGGCUGAGUAACGCGUGGGAACGUGCCCCAAAGUGAGGAAUAACUGCCCGAAAGGGUAGCUAAUACCGCAUAUUAUCUUCGGAUCAAAGGAUUUAUCCGCGUUGGGCGCGGCUCGCGUCGGAUUAGGUGGUUGGUGAGGUAAUGGCUCACCAAGGCGACGAUCCGUAGCUGGUCUGAGAGGAUGACCAGCCAGACUGGAACUGAGACACGGUCCAGACUCCUACGGGAGGGAGCAGUGAGGAAUCUUCCACAAUGGGCGAAAGCCUGAUGGAGCAACGCCGCGUGCAGGACGAAGGCCUUCGGGUUGUAAACUGCUUUUAUAAGUGAGGAAUAUGACGGUAACUUAUGAAUAAGGAUCGGCUAACUACGUG
rnacentral:rRNA from 1 species